UAUAUCACCACAAUAAUAUGUACAGCAGCACACACCAUGUUUCAGGUUCCCUCAAUUUGUCCCGAGUCCCUUCCUCACUGGCCAGGCCCCGCCGUUACAAAGCGCUCACUUUGUUUCCUUGUGUUGAUGAUCUUUGUGCUUCAAGUUAUGGGGACCUUGCCUUCCCCCAUGCGCCGCAAAUUCCUACGUAACUAAAUGACAGUUCGCUUCCCACGGGUGGUCCUGGCUGCUCUGAACUCGUCCCUCACGUCUGUGCAACUUGCAGACGACUCCUCUUCGGACGGCGAGUGCCGGGCCAGGGGGUCCUUGGCGAAGUGAGGCUCCUUCGCUUGCGUCUUAACCCUGAGCGGUGGCGGCUUUCUGCGCAGGUGCUGUAGGCAUCACUGAGGAAUCCCACUGCUUUACAGGAUAGCUGCUUUUCUGUUUCUGCUUUCUUUAAACAAUAUCUCUAAAAUGUGAUGAGAACCCUGGCUAAACCCAGAGAAUUGUUGCAAGGAUUAGCUAAUUGAUUAUUUUAAAUGCUUUGAAACUGACGGAGGGUUUAGUAACAAGGACAGGCUGAAUACUUUUUGCAGGCUUGACGGGAGUCCACAGUGUAUCAAACGAUGCUUCCAGUUUGCUUUAGUAUCUAUAGCAGGACUUGCUUGUUGUAUAACAUGUCACGUUAAAAUGUGUUAUGUAUGCUGUGGCAUUUAACACAUGACCUAGGGAGAUGCUUUACCAUAAAGAGAGGUGUUUGCAAGAUAUACAGCGCUUUCGUCAAGUGGAAUUGCAGUUACUGAAACCACUGGGGUUUUUCGGACUCAAGAGAAGUCCUGUGAACACAACCCAGUAACAUUUGUUAUCUAAGGGCCCGCCGUGUAUGGAGGCUGGAUUGGUCACCACGGCUCCUCGGAGAGGAGACAGAUACACACACAGUCAGAGCCCUUUGAUAGCAGGUGAUGGGGCUGAAAUGGACAGAUACACAAGGUCAGAGUAACAACAGCAGCAACAAAAUCAGCUGGUAAUUAGCUCCGUCUGGGGGACAUCCAGGUAUGUCCAUCAGGGAAGAGAGGCUCGAGUUGCUCUUUAAGGGUAAGAGAAGUUUGUCACAUCAUAAAGGCGUGAAGGGCUUUUCAGACAGAGGGAACAGCCCAAGAAAAUCUCUUCUCUCUUCUGUCUGUCCCCGUGUCAUUCAAGUAUCUUUAAGAGCCUCUACUUCUCUGUCUAACUCUGUACUGUUUUUUGCUCAUACUAGGUACUCAGUACUUGUAAAUGGAUAGAAGUGGGUGAUAGGAUGAUAGGCAGCGAUUUCAAUUUUAUUCAUGUUCUUUAUUCUUAUAAGUUUUCUGUAACAGAUAUACCUUUAUUUUAUAAUUAGAAUAUUCUCAAGUAUUCAGGGAAUGGUCCUCAGAGUCCACGGCUGCACUGGAGUUGAAUGUCGUCAGAGGUUCAUGAACUUUGGGCAAAAUGGGAGUCGUUGUUGACCUGGUGAGGCAAAGGCUUGAGACUGCGGGCGCAUCCCUGGCAGUGAAGCUGGGAUGAUAGGCUGGGGCUCAGAACUUUGGCCUUCAUGUUCUGGACCACGAGGAACCGCUGACUUUAUCAGGCAGGAAGUCUGUGUUCAGAGUCCCCCAGCAACACUGCAGAGCACGAACUGGCUGCAGGAGAGACCAGAGGGAAGGGACCAGCGGUGUCCCUUUAGAAUCCAGGUAGCUGUGUAUUGAAGGUUCUCUUUUUGGGUAGCGUUGGAGAGAAGAUGAUGCAUUUGGUUUUGAUAGGAGGCGUUUGGAGUGUCUGCGGGAUGGUCUGUAGGAAGGCCAGCAAGUAUUUGAAACUGCCCAUGGGAAGGAAUCCGUGUGUAGAACAACGCUGACCCUAGAGGCCUUGGAGAACCCCCUGGACUGUGGUCACAAAGGCAACAGAAGAACAAAAGCAGAUAGUGCUGAAAAAUCACGAGGGGGCUAAAAGGAAGAGGAGGUUGAGAGGAGCAAGUAUCUGGUCAGGAAGUAGAUUCAUUUCCUUUCUCCAGACAUUCCUCUUCCUCCUUGCCUUCAGGUUUGUGCUUAAAAGACAUCUCUGCAAAGAUGCCUUCCCAGGCCACCUGCCUGAAACAGCACCCUUCAUGCGGUGUCAAAAUGCGAGUUUUAUUAUUAUCAUCCAGACAUCAGGAGGAUUGCCAAUGAAGGACUCUUCAUCUUCCCAAGCGGAAGCUCUGCGUUCAUCAAACACGAAUUCCCCAGUCCCUUCCCCCCAGCGCCUGGCCACCACCGUUCUGCUCUCUGUCUCCAGGAUCUUGACUGCUCCAAGUGCUUGAUGUCCUGAAUGGGUCCUAAAGAAGGAACUGAAUCGAGAACUUCUUACCUUCUCCUUUGAAAGAUGCCCCCAGAAGUGGAUGGCGUCUCCCUGCGAUCAGAGACUUGGCAGGGCUGAUUCUGACUGCGGUCAUCCUCGAUAAAUAUGUACGUGCAUGCGGCGGUUUUCUAGGCAGUGGACAGAGAAAGAGUCCUAGACCUGUCUUCUGGAUACUUACAUUUCUGGAAGAAUAAAGUGUCAAAUAAUCGAUGAGAGUGACUGUUUUAGUUCUUGUUUGCAAUGCACACACAUUCUUACUAUUUUCAAGAGGGAGACAGAUGUGUCUGCAGUGACAACCUCCGAAGGCCUUGCUUCUCACUCAGAGCCCUCAGCUUAAGAAAUCAACCCAUCCACAGAGUUCCCACUGUGGCUCAGCAUGUUAAGAACCCAACGUUGUC